rnacentral:rRNA from 1 species
UACGAAGGGGGCUAGCGUUGCUCGGAAUCACUGGGCGUAAAGGGUGCGUAGGCGGGUCUUUAAGUCAGGGGUGAAAUCCUGGAGCUCAACUCCAGAACUGCCUUUGAUACUGAAGAUCUUGAGUUCGGGAGAGGUGAGUGGAACUGCGAGUGUAGAGGUGAAAUUCGUAGAUAUUCGCAAGAACACCAGUGGCGAAGGCGGCUCACUGGCCCGAGUACUGACGCUGAGGCACGAAAGCGUGGGGAGCAAACG